CCCCCACGUCGGUAGGGGGAGAGGCCCCGGGGAACCCCGGAUUAAUACCGCGUACGCCCUUCGGGGGAAAGCGGGGGAUCUUCGGACCUUGCGCUAUUGGAUGUGCCUAAAUCGGAUUAGCUAUUUGGUGGGGUAAGAACCUACCAAGGCGACGAUCCCCGACUGGUCUGAGAGGAUGAUCAGCCACAUCGGGACUGAGACACGGCCCGAACUCCUACGGGAGGCAGCAGUGGGGAAUAUUGGACAAUGGGGGCAACCCUGAUCCAGCCAUGCCGCGUGUGUGAAGAAGGCUUUCGGGUUGUAAAGCACUUUCAGUGAGGAGGAAAACCUUAUGGCUAAUACCCAUGAGGCUUGACGUUACUCACAGAAGAAGCACCGGCUAACUCCGUGCCAGCAGCCGCGGUAAUACGGAGGGUGCAAGCGUUAAUCGGAAUUACUGGGCGUAAAGCGCGCGUAGGUGGUUUGAUAAGCGAGAUGUGAAAGCCCCGGGCUUAACCUGGGAACGGCAUUUCGAACUGUCAGGCUCGAGUGUGGUAGAGGGUAGUGGAAUUUCCUGUGUAGCGGUGAAAUGCGUAGAUAUAGGAAGGAACACCAGUGGCGAAGCGGC
rnacentral:rRNA from 1 species